GACGUAGGAGGCGAGCGUUAUCCGGAUUUACUGGGCGUAAAGGGCAAGUAGGCGGCGGUUCAAGUUGGACGUGACAUCUCCCGGCUCAACUGGGAGGGGUCGUUCAAAACUGGGUCGCUGGAGGGCAGGAGAGGGAAGCGGAAUUCCUGGUGUAGCGGUGGAAUGCUCAGAUACCAGGAGGAACACCAGUGGCGAAGGCGGCUUCCUGGCCUGUACCUGACGCUGAGAGGCGAAAGCCAGGGGAGCGAACGGGCUUAGAUACCCCGGUAGUCCUGGCCGUAAACGGUGGAUACUGGGUAUUGGGGGUGUAAGAUCCCUCAGUGCCGAAGCUAACGCGUUAAGUAUCCCGCCUGGGAACUACGACCGCAAGGUUAAAACUCAAAGGAAUUGACGGGGGCCCGCACAAGCAGCGGAGCGUGUGGUUUAAUUCGAUGCAACGCGAAGAACCUUACCUGGGCUUGACAUGCAUGUGGUAGGGAACCGAAAGGAGACCGACCCCUCGGGGAGCAUGCACAGGUGCUGCAUGGCU
rnacentral:rRNA from 1 species